rnacentral:rRNA from 1 species
AUUGAACGCUGGCGGCAGGCCUAACACAUGCAAGUCGAACGAGUGGCGGACGGGUGAGUAAUGUCUGGGAAACUGCCUGAUGGAGGGGGAUAACUACUGGAAACGGUAGCUAAUACCGCAUACCCUCAGAUGUGCCCAGAUGGGAUUAGCUAGUUGGUGGGGUAACGGCUCACCAAGGCGACGAUCCCUAGCUGGUCUGAGAGGAUGACCAGCCACACUGGAAAGGGGGCAAGGUCCAGACUCCUACGGGAGGCAGCAGUGGGGAAUAUUGCACAAUGGGCGGAAGCCUGAUGGAGCCAAGCCGCGUGUAUGAAGAAGGCCUUCGGGGUGUAAAGUACUUUCAGCGGGGAGGCGUGACCCGCAGAAGAAGCACCGGCUAACUCCGUGCGAGCGGCCGCGGGAAUAC